CCUUUACCCAAUGGAAGCAGUAAAGCUUCACAAUGAUAUGAAAGCAGAGCUAAUAACUCCCGUCUUGGAGAAAUAAAACCUUCACAGAAGUCUGACAGGUUGACUUGGACUUGCGAGGACCCCCAUUUCUGCAGCUGCAGUAUUGCAGGAUCUUCGCCACCAUAGGCAAAAUCCAUGCCAGUCCUACGGGGUAACAAAAAAUUAAGCAAAGGCCAAAGAGAAACGAUAGCCAUUGAAGUAUUGGGACUUGGAAGCAACGAAUUCAUGAAAACACGAUAAUAUGUUCAAAAGUGCCCAUGAAAAUUUGUUAGAUGCCGAAGAUUCCAUAAUGAUUCCGUUUUGGGUGUACUACCCUCAACAUUUUCUUUAUAUUGACAUAUAUUAAUAACACAUGUAACAUUACAUAUCAAAAAAAUUGCCCAUAAAAGUUAGAACUAAUUAGACGAUACCAGAUGCCAGUUCUGACAGGUUGACUUGGACCUGCGAGGACCCCCAUUUCUGCAGCUGCAGUAUUGCAGGAUCUUCGCCACCACUGGCAAAAUCCAUGCCAGUCCUAAGGGAUAACAAAAAAAUUAAGCAAAGGCCAAAAAGAAACGAUAGCCAUUGAAGUAUUGGCACUUGGAAGCAACGAAUUCAUGAAAGAACACGAUAAUAUGUUCAAAAGUGCCCAUGAAAAUUUGUUAGAGGCCGAAGAUUCCGUAAUGAUUCCAUUUUGGGCGUACUACCCUCAGCAUUUUCUUUAUAUUGACAUACAUCAAUAACACAUAUAACAUUACAUAUCAAAAAAAUUGCCCAUAAAAGUUAGAGCUAAUUAGAUGAUAGUAGAUGCCAGAUGCUUUCCCAGUUAGUGCAGACAAGGUCCUAAUGGGAAUUCAAUUUGGAAGGUAAUAGUACCAAAUAUCACAGUGCAAGUCCAGUGGCUUCAUUAACGACCGCGAAGUACAAAAGACCCACAAUGAACACCGCCCUUUCUACUUUCUCUUCUAUC
rnacentral:lncRNA from 1 species